rnacentral:rRNA from 1 species
CUUGUUGGUGAGGUAACGGCUCACCAAGGCCACGAUCAGUAGGGGUUCUGAGAGGAAGGUCCCCCACAUUGGAACUGAGACACGGUCCAAACUCCUACGGGAGGCAGCAGUGAGGAAUAUUGGUCAAUGGACGAGAGUCUGAACCAGCCAAGUAGCGUGCAGGAUGACGGCCCUAUGGGUUGUAACUGUUUUUGUUUGGGAAUAAUCGACAUUACGUGUAAUGUUUUGCAUGUACCAUUCGAAUAAGGACCGGGCUAAUUCCCGUGCCAGCAGCCGCGGUAAAU